rnacentral:rRNA from 1 species
CCUACGGGAGUCAGCAGUGAGGAAUAUUGGUCAAUGGACGAGAGUCUGAACCAGCCAAGUAGCGUGAAGGAUGACUGCCCUAUGGGUUGUAAACUUCUUUUAUAUGGGAAUAAAAUGUUCCACGUGUGGGAUUUUGUAUGUACCAUAUGAAUAAGGAUCGGCUAACUCCGUGCCAGCAGCCGCGGUAAUACGGAGGAUCCGAGCGUUAUCCGGAUUUAUUGGGUUUAAAGGGAGCGUAGGUGGAUUGUUAAGUCAGUUGUGAAAGUUUGCGGCUCAACCGUAAAAUUGCAGUUGAAACGGGAAGUCUUGAGUACAGUAGAGGUGGGCGGAAUUCGUGGUGUAGCGGUGAAAUGCUUAGAUAUCACGAAGAACUCCGAUUGCGAAGGCAGCUCACUGGACUGCAACUGACACUGAGGCUCGAAAGUGUGGGUAUCAAACAGGAUUAGAUACCCGAGUAGUC